UUCGGCUUAACCGGAGAAGUGCAUCGGAAACUGGAUAACUUGAGUGCAGAAGAGGGUAGUGGAACUCCAUGUGUAGCGGUGGAAUGCGUAGAUAUAUGGAAGAACACCAGUGGCGAAGGCGGCUACCUGGUCUGCAACUGACGCUGAGACUCGAAAGCAUGGGUAGCGAACAGGAUUAGAUACCCUGGUAGUCCAUGCCGUAAACGAUGAGUGCUAGGUGUUGGAGGGUUUCCGCCCUUCAGUGCCGGAGCUAACGCAUUAAGCACUCCGCCUGGGGAGUACGACCGCAAGGUUGAAACUCAAAGGAAUUGACGGGGGCCCGCACAAGCGGUGGAGCAUGUGGUUUAAUUCGAAGCUACGCGAAGAACCUUACCAGGUCUUGACAUCUUGCGCCAACCCUAGAGAUAGGGCGUUUCCUUCGGGAACGCAAUGACAGGUGGUGCAUGGUCGUCGUCAGCUCGUGUCGUGAGAUGUUGGGUUAAGUCCCGCAACGAGCGCAACCCUUGUUACUAGUUGCCAGCAUUAAGUUGGGCACUCUAGUGAGACUGCCGGUGACAAACCGGAGGAAGGUGGGGACGACGUCAGAUCAUCAUGCCCCUUAUGACCUGGGCUACACACGUGCUACAAUGGACGGUACAACGAGUCGCGAACUCGCGAGGGCAAGCAAAUCUCUUAAAACCGUUC
rnacentral:rRNA from 1 species